GACGAACGCUGGCGGCGUGCUUAACACAUGCAAGUCGAACGGAAAGGCCCUGCUUUUGUGGGGUGCUCGAGUGGCGAACGGGUGAGUAACACGUGAGUAACCUGCCCUUGACUUUGGGAUAACUUCAGGAAACUGGGGCUAAUACCGGAUAGGAGCUCCUGCUGCAUGGUGGGGGUUGGAAAGUUUCGGCGGUUGGGGAUGGACUCGCGGCUUAUCAGCUUGUUGGUGGGGUAGUGGCUUACCAAGGCUUUGACGGGUAGCCGGCCUGAGAGGGUGACCGGCCACAUUGGGACUGAGGUACGGCCGAGACUCCUACGGGAGGCAGCAGUGGGGAAUAGUGCACAAUGGGCGGAAGCCUGAUGCAGCAACGCCGCGUGCGGGAUGACGGCCUUCGGGGUGUAAACCGCUUUCGCCUGUGACGAAGCGUGAGUGACGGUAAUGGGUAAAGAAGCACCGGCUAACUACGUG
rnacentral:rRNA from 1 species